rnacentral:misc_RNA from 1 species
UCAAACUUGGUCAUUUAGAGGAAGUAAAAGUCGUAACAAGGUUUCCGUAGGUGAACCUGCGGAAGGAUCAUUACAAAUCCUGGGGGGGGGGUGAUGAUGGACGGGCACUCUGUGUCCGUCCUCGUCGCCGUCCCACACACAAACCCGUUUCAACGUUAUGAUAGUCGAGUGGGCAGAGCGGAGGGACUCGUUUCCUUCCUCUCUCCCCCGACUCUCUUUAACACAACCCCUAGUGUGAUCUCGUUGCUUCAACAGUGUCCAUGUGUGUGCGCCUCGCGUGCUCGCAUCUCACAACGAUGAAACAACUUAUAACAAUGGAUCUCUAGGCUCUUGCAUCGAUGAAGAACGCAGC